rnacentral:lncRNA from 1 species
GGUUGUGUUUUUGUCUGUUUUUGUUAAACUUUAAGCAAUAGGUCAACUAUAUUUGUUAUUAUUUAUUUAUAUGUGACAGUUGUAUUACUAGAUUUUUUUCACUCGACUGAGCGGGGUAGAAGAAGUUCCCUUAUUUACGACCAGUCCAUCUAUAAACUGGAGUUUUGGGAUAAAGUCAUCAAUGAAGUGUUCAGUUAUUCAUCCCGUAUCACACACUGAAUUAUUUUGUAUAUGCGUUUGGUGACACUAAUAGGUGAUUAGAAUUCAAUAAUAAUUAUAACGGCAAUCAUCCUUAUCACAUCUUCAAAUAGACUGUCCUAAUGCAAAUUCAAACAUAAGCUCCGCCCGAUCAUUUGAAAUAACAUUGGUAAUAACAAAGCUUUAUAUUUAGGACUACCAAUAUAAUAUCAAUGAUUAGGAAAGAAGGCGAGACAUUUCUGCAUGUGUACUCUU